rnacentral:rRNA from 1 species
UUCGGGAAACCGAAGCUAAUACCGGAUAGGAUCUUCUCCUUCAUGGGAGAUGAUUGAAAGAUGGUUUCGGCUAUCACUUACAGAUGGGCCCGCGGUGCMUUAGCUAGKUUGKGGRGKUAMCGSCUCACCAAGGCAACGAUGCAUAGCCGACCUGAGAGGGUGAUCGGCCACACUGGGACUGAGACACGGCCCAGACUCCUACGGGAGGCAGCAGUAGGGAAUCUUCCGCAAUGGACGAAAGUCUGACGGAGCAACGCCGCGUGAGUGAUGAAGGCUUUCGGGUCGUAAAACUCUGUUGUUAGGGAAGAACAAGUACAAGAGUAACUGCUUGUACCYUUGMCGGKRCCUAACCAGAAAGCCACGGSUUAACUACGKGCCAGCAGCCCGCGGUAAUACGUAGGUGG